GUACUACCGAUGGGUCUCAAAAUAGGACGAAACAGCUGUCCAGUAC
rnacentral:hammerhead_ribozyme from 1 species